rnacentral:rRNA from 1 species
GAUGAACGCUAGCGGCAGGCUUAACACAUGCAAGUCGAGGGGUAUAGCACUUCGGUGCUAGAGACCGGCGCACGGGUGCGUAACGCGUAUGCAAUCUACCUUUUACAGAGGGAUAGCCCAGAGAAAUUUGGAUUAAUACCUCAUAGUAUUAUAGAAUGGCAUCAUUUUAUAAUUAAAGUCACAACGGUAAAAGAUGAGCA